CUGAGAGGAGCGAGGAGCCUCUCUACCGCUGAUUUUGCCGGCCUGCCGCUCGCCCGAUCUGCUAGUCGCGGGCGUCCCCUGCUGCCGAAGCUACGGGAUGCGAUGACCUUCAGUCUGAGGCUAUGGGAACUGGUGGCGUCAGGCUCAUGCCGCCGGAUUCGAUUGUCUCCUAGAAGCACACGAAGCCAUGGCGGUGAGUGGAACCCAGUGGCCGAAGAUGCAGAUAAAGGUCUGGCGGGAGGCAGUCCCCGAGACCUUCCUCGAGCUCUGUCCAACCAAUCUUCGUUGGACAGCGUAUCUCGCUCUCACCACCACCAUCUCUCGUUGGCGCCGCCGCAAGGGGUCACGGGCUCGCCACGCCACCGCCGGAGCCCAUCGAUGUCCGGCCGCUCGUAGCAGCAGUGCAACACCAGCACCAGACCAACACAUGUUCUUCCUAGCCUUCUCCAAGUCGAAUCGAUCCCAACUCCAGCGCCUGACAACGCCGUCGUGCCGCCAGCCACCUCCUGCAUUGCUUGGCUCGCGAGCCAAACGAGCUAGCUCGAGCUUCAAAACGAGCCGAGCCGAGCUAGCAGUUUAGCUCGUUAGGAUAACGAGCCGAGCCAGCUCGUUAUCCUAGCGAGCCAGGCCGAGCCGAGCUAGCUUGAUAUCCAUCCCUAGGGAGGCGGUUGUAGUGGAGCGGCGGCUAAGGGCACCUCCCGUGUCGUCCCUGCCCUAGGGGCGACGCGGGGGCAAGGAUGCAAAUACAAGAAGUAGACGUGUUAUAUUUGAUAUUGCGUUUUAAGGAUAUAAUCCAAACUCAACGAUAUCUAAAGUAAUCUUAUAUCGCUUUUGCUAUUAUGCAGUCGCCUGCAAAUUAGCAAUCGAUCAGUCGAUCACGCUGGCCGUUGAUUCUGCUUCAAUAUUUGUGCGUGUUAUCGGGCUAGUGGGGAGGCUCUUUUGGAUAUGGGCCACGCUUCCUAGGCCUUCUUUUUAAUUAAAAAAAACUAAAAAAAUUGUGUCCGCCGCGUGCACCAUCGAACAGAUAUGCCGAUGACUUUUCCCCACCACCGCUGCCCCGACUCAAUCUCAGAAAUUACUGCGGAGAAGGCAAUCCAUCACCUCCCUCUCCCGUCUCCCUGGUGGCGCGAUUUUGUCCAUCGGCGGCCACGAGCGGCGGCGUCACCUUCCUCUCCCAUCUCGUCGAGCGGCGGCAUGAGGUCAGCGCGACUUUUUCUCAGGUGCAGUAUACGAAUUCAUCAAUGUGCAAGCAAGCAAGAGAAGAAUUUUUUUCAGCAGCUUGCUCUUGUGGCGAAGCAGAACUUGUUUUUGCUAGAGGUAAUCAAACAUUCAAACUCUGAGGUGUUGCUGCUGCUUAUAUAUUCACCCAAAGAUUGACAUAGCUACACAUUCUUUUGCUCACAACCAUGGAUGGCAGAAAAGCUGCUGUUUGCUUGAUCAUUGUGCUUGUGUUAACACUUGGCAAUCCUACUUCUGCAGGAGUGUGCUGGCAAUCUAAUACCAAGAUGCCUUUCUGUGCGGGUUUUAUGUGCAAGAUCUCCUGCUGGAUCUCCUCGAAAUUCACCAAGCAAAAUGUCAAGAGUUACAGGUGCAGGGGAUCGGGUCCCAAGGGCAGAUGCUACUGUAAUAUUUGCGACAAAAAUUACUGAUUCAGAUAGAUUUUAACCAUUUAUCAGAUCGAAGGGAUCAGUGAUAUUUUUUUUGCGUUUUUUUUCUGCGGGGGUUAGUGAUAUCUAAUUCUUCAAUUAUUAUUAGUUAGUCUCAUUGGGUAAUUUGUUCUGGUUAUUAGCUCAUAGUUGUUUGGAGUUGUAUUUGUUAAUUUGGCAAUAAUUUUGAAGGGGGACAUAUCCGGUAAAAACCAUCAAAUAAGUGAAAACCCGUAAAAACCAUUUCUAAAAGUUUUAUAAAUUCAUGAAAAAAUUACUAGAGAUAGGUAUAGGCAUGAAAUAUAUUCAUACCAAAUCUUAAGUUAAAACUCAACUUCAUUUGAGAGAAAUCUCUUAAAUGAAGUUGAGUUUGGACUUAAAUUUAGUAUGAAUAUAUUUCAUGCCUAAUUUUUUCAUGAAUUUACAAAACUUUUAGAUAUGGUUUUCACUUAUUUGAUGGUUUUCACUGGAUAUUCCCCAGAUGGAUCUGUGCUACAAUGUUAUAUGAUCAUAUUAUUUCGCUUUA